UACGUAGGGUGCAAGCGUUGUUCGGAAUCACUGGGCGUAAAGCGCGUGUAGGCGGCUUGGCAAGUCGGGUGUGAAAGCCCGGAGCUCAACUCCGGAACUGCAUUCGAAACUGCCUCGCUCGAGUCCCGGAGAGGGUGGUGGAAUUCCCGGUGUAGAGGUGAAAUUCGUAGAUAUCGGGAGGAACACCAGUGGCGAAGGCGGCCACCUGGACGGUGACUGACGCUGAGACGCGAAAGCGUGAGGAGCAAACAGG
rnacentral:rRNA from 1 species